AACGAACGCUGGCGGCAUGCCUAACACAUGCAAGUCGAACGAAGCCUUCGGGCUUAGUGGCGCACGGGUGCGUAACGCGUGGGAAUCUGCCCUUGGGUUCGGAAUAACAGUUAGAAAUGACUGCUAAUACCGAAUGAUGUCUUCGGACCAAAGAUUUAUCGCCAAAGGAUUAGCCCGCGUCUGAUUAGCUAGUUGGUGAGGUAACGGCUCACCAAGGCGACGAUCAGUAGCUGGUCUGAGAGGAUGAUCAGCCACACUGGGACUGAGACACGGCCCAGACUCCUACGGGAGGCAGCAGUGGGGAAUAUUGGACAAUGGGCGCAAGCCUGAUCCAGCCAUGCCGCGUGAGUGAAGAAGGCCCUAGGGUUGUAAAGCACUUUCAGUGGGGAGAAAGGGUUAAUUCACCUAAUACGUGAGUAGAUUGAUGUUACCCACAGAAGAAGCACCGGCUAACUCCGUGCCAGCAGCCGCGGUAAU
rnacentral:rRNA from 1 species